rnacentral:Y_RNA from 1 species
GGCUGGUCUGAAGGUAGUGAGUUAUCUUGCUUGAUUGUUCAGUCAGUUACAUAUUGAACUCCUUUUUCUACCACUUUCCUCCCUUCUCACUACUGCACUUGACUAGUCUAAA